rnacentral:rRNA from 1 species
GAUGAACGCUGGCGGCGUGCUUAACACAUGCAAGUCGAACGGAAAGGCCCAAGCUUGCUUGGGUACUCGAGUGGCGAACGGGUGAGUAACACGUGGGUGAUCUGCCCUGCACUUCGGGAUAAGCCUGGGAAACUGGGUCUAAUACCGGAUAGGACGAUGGUUUGGAUGCCAUUGUGGAAAGUUUUUUCGGUGUGGGAUGAGCUCGCGGCCUAUCAGCUUGUUGGUGGGGUAAUGGCCUACCAAGGCGUCGACGGGUAGCCGGCCUGAGAGGGUGUACGGCCACAUUGGGACUGAGAUACGGCCCAGACUCCGACGGGAGGCAGCAGUGGGGAAUAUUGGACAAUGGGCGCAAGCCUGAUGCAGCGAGGCCGCGUGGGGGAUGACGGCCUUCGGGUUGUAAACUCCUUUCGCUAGGGACGAAGCGUUUUUGUGACGGUACCUGGAGAAGAAGCACCGGCUAACUACGUG